GGGAUUUGGUUGAGUUGAAUGGAAUAAAUUAAGUCUUUCUACCUGCUAUAUCUUUGAUUAGCUGCUUUUGGUUCUUUUUCCUGGCCAUUUGAGCUUUAUAAUUUGAAAGAAUUCUGAAUCUUGUCUUUUGACAUUUUUGUUAGUGAACUAUAGAAAAUCUCUCUCUUCGUAAGUUCAUUGUUCAAUUGAUCUUUUACUUGAGCAAGCUGGAGUUUUAUUCGACAUUUGGGAUUUUUUCACUAUGGGAUGAUGAUGUUUUGAGCACUGAACUUUUGGGAUUUUCUAUUUGAGUGCUUGAAAAGUUGAACUCGUUUUUUUCUUUGUCAAUUGGGUGUAUGAUCAGAGAAACUCAUGUGACUUUGCAUUUUUCGGUCGUUAGAAGUAUCAAAUGUAGAUUAAAAUAGUUUACUUCCAUAUCAUUGGAAAUUCGAACUAUUUUAAUUCCAAC
rnacentral:misc_RNA from 1 species